UAGGGAAUCUUCCGCAAUGGACGCAAGUCUGACGGAGCAACGCCGCGUGAGUGAAGAAGGAUUUCGGUUCGUAAAACUCUGUUGUUAGAGAAGAACAGCGCAUAGAGUAACUGUUAUGCGUGUGACGGUAUCUAACCAGAAAGCCACGGCUAACUACGUGCCAGCAGCCGCGGUAAUACGUAGGUGGCAAGCGUUGUCCGGAUUUAUUGGGCGUAAAGGGUGCGUAGGUGGUCUUUCAAGUCGGUGGUUAAAGGCUACGGCUCAACCGUAGUUAGCCUCCGAAACUGGAAGACUUGAGUGCAGGAGAGGAAAGUGGAAUUCCCAGUGUAGCGGUGAAAUGCGUAGAUAUUGGGAGGAACACCAGUAGCGAAGGCGGCUUUCUGGACUGCAACUGACACUGAGGCACGAAAGCGUGGGUAGCAAACAGG
rnacentral:rRNA from 1 species